rnacentral:rRNA from 1 species
UGCAGUCGAGCGGUAGCACAGGGGAGCUUGGUCCCCGGGGGACGAGCGGGGGAGGGGUGAGUAAUGUGGGGGAAACUGCGUGAUGGAGGGGGAUAACUACGGGAAACGGUAGCGAAUACCGCAUAACGUCCCAAGACCGGAGAGGGGGACCUUCGGGCCUCUUGCCAUCAUAUGUGCCCACAUGGGAUUAUAUAGUGUGUGGGGUAAUGGGUCACCUAGGCGACAAUCCCUAUCUGGGGUGAGAGGAUGACCAGCCACACUGGAACUGAGACACGGUCCCCACUCCUACGGGAGGGGGCAGUGGGGAAUAUUGGGCAAUGGGCGCAAGCCUGAUGCGCCCAUGCGGCGUGUGUGAAAAGAGCCUUCUGGUUGUAAAACACUUUCAGAGAGGAGAAGGGUGGUGAACUUAAAACACUCAUCAGUUGACGUUACUCGCACAAAAAACACCGGCUAACUCCGUGCCAGCACCCGCGGUAAUACAGAGGGGGCGCGCGUUAAUCGCAAUUACUGGGCGUAAAGCGCACACGCGCGGUUUGUUAUUCAUAUGUGAAAUCCCCGGGCUCAACCUGGGAACUGCAUUUGAAACUGGGAAGCUAGAGUCUCGUGGGGAGGGGGAUAAUUCCGGUGUAGCGGUGAGAUGCGUAGAGAUCUGGAGGAAUACCGGUGGCGAGGCG